AAAUCCGUCGACUUUAGAAAUCGUGA
rnacentral:tRNA from 6 species